GGUUAAGAAAAAUGGAAGAAUUUACAUCACGGAGGGGAGUAAUUACAUGUACAAGAAUGAUCCCAGUGAUCUUUUCCAAUAGAAGACAUGAUGACCAAGUUGGAGUCACCCAAAUUGCCUCGACCUGAGGCACAGCCUGGCCCCUGGACAACUUCGUUCCCUUGGGAUCCUGUCCCUGCCCUGUGACAAGGGAGCAGCCACGGGGAUUAAGCAGUGCCGGCUUCCACGUGGCUGCAGAACCAAUGUCCUAUGUCAUUCACUGGGUACAACACACACCUGACAAGCUCUAGCAUUUCCACCACUGGCUUUUACUCAUUGAGAAGAAUAUGGGCUGAACUCAAGACCAGGAGCCUGCACAAAGCUUUUCCUGCAAGAACGGUGACAGCAGGAGCCACCAUAUGGGAUGAGACACGAAGCAACUUUGCCUUAGCCCUGCUGAUUGAAUAGGACUAAUCAGGCUGAACUCAGUGCCCAUCUGCUGAUGGCUGCGUAACCAAGAAGCAUCACCCAUGAGCUGGCAGGACCAGGGCAGGGAGUGACACCCACAGCUCACCUGAUCCUCUCAGCUCCAUCCCAGAGAGAUCAGCCUCUGGAGACAGCGACUCUGCCUCUCUAGAAUGGCAGUGUUCCAGAGCUGCUCCAGGGGGUGCCACAGCAUGGAAGCAGGCAGCCCUGCAGAAGUGAUGGGACACGACCCAAAGAGACAUGAACCUUGUGAAUGUGCACUUCAGUUUGCAUCAGAAGCAGGCUCAGUACCAUGCCACAGACUCAAAACUCUCCAGAUUUCAUCCCCUCCAAUUUGUGGCACCAGCUGGAAGCCAGGACGUUGAGAGGGUGGAGAUACACCACAGAGAAGCUGCAAGAUGCACCAAGGCAGUAGAUCAGAGCCAAAAGCAAGGACCUGGGGAAAUGCAGCCUGGUCUCGCUGACAUCAUUGCAUCCUCAUCCUGUGCUGAGCCGGCUGCUCAGGGUGCGUGCCCAUGCCAGAUACACUGAUUGCUUUCUGCAAACAGCUUAUCCGCAGACAGCUGGACUAAACCCAACCCCAUUUCACGUGAGUCACUGACCAAGAGGUCAGGAAGCAAUGCCUCCUCAGGUCCAUCUGCAAGGGCUGGAUUCAAACCACUGACUACAGCACCAGAGAAACUCCCCAGUUUCCCCCCCAACUCCUCAGCUAAAGGACAUUUCUUCCCCACCGACAUCCCCAGCGACUGUAUCAGAAUGAGCAGAGCUAUUUCUCCCUGCAAUGCCUACAGGAAAAUUCCCUUUCAAAGGCUCAGUUAUACAGGAACAUCUCAGGAACUGCCCGUGUGAGUCAGCUAUUCCCCUGAAUCCUAACAACCUUUUCUGCAGGAGCUGGUUGGGAAAGGAAAAAGCAGAAAGACAAAAAGAUUGUGUCCUAAAUAAAAACACACAUAACCACUUGCCAAAAAAGAAAAAAAAA
rnacentral:lncRNA from 1 species